GAUGAACGCUGGCGGCAUGCCUAAUACAUGCAAGUCGAACGAGAGGAAGGAAAGCUUGCUUUUCUGAAUCUAGUGGCGAACGGGUGAGUAACACGUAGGUAACCUGCCCAUGUGCCCGGGAUAACUUCUGGAAACGGAUGCUAAAACCGGAUAGGUAGCAGACAAGCAUUUGACUGCUAUUAAAGUGGCUAAGGCCAUGAACAUGGAUGGACCUGCGGUGCAUUAGCUAGUUGGUGAGGUAACGGCCCACCAAGGCGACGAUGCAUAGCCGGGCUGAGAGGGCGGACGGCCACAUUGGGACUGAGACACGGCCCAAACUCCUACGGGAGGCAGCAGUAGGGAAUUUUCGUCAAUGGGGGGAACCCUGAACGAGCAAUGCCGCGUGAGUGAGGAAGGUCUUCGGAUCGUAAAGCUCUGUUGUAAGAGAAAAACGACAUUCACAGGGAAUGAUGAGUGAGUGAUGGUAUCUUACCAGAAAGUCACGGCUAACUACGUGCCAGCCGCCGCAGUAACAC
rnacentral:rRNA from 1 species